UUUAAUUAAAAAAUAUAACUAUAAGAAUAUAUAUAAACUAAAACUAUAAAUAUAAAAAAAAUCAAUUAAAGUUAUAAACUAAAACUAUAUUAAUUAAUUCAAUUUUAUAAAAUAAAAUAUAAAUUCUAAAUUAUUAAAAUGAUCCAUAAAUAAAUUAAUAAAAUAAAACUAAGUUAAAAUAAUAAUACAAAAAAUUAUAAAAAAAAAAACUAAAUGAAAAAAAGAAUAAGAAAAUAAACCAGAUAAUACUUAU
rnacentral:lncRNA from 1 species